ensembl:lncRNA
UCACUUCAGGAAAAGUUCCUGAAGUUGGCUAGCCCUGCUCCUCUCCCUCCUGCCUUCCUUGGGAGGGAGCUGCUGGAAAGUUCCCUUGACUUUCACCAAAAGCUGUCGGUUGCCACGCCUUCCCUUUGUUCAUUGAGAAGGGCUGGCUGUGAGCACAUACGUGUGCAUGCCCUGUCCUAUCUGGAAAAUGCUGCUUUCUUGACGUCAUCCACCACCUCUGGCUCUUACAUCAUCCAGUGCUUUGCCACACAAAGGAAACAGCUGUUGGGCAGUGUGUUGCCAUGGAGAUGCUGGCAGCUGUCUGGAUUGCACCGCAGCUAUUGCCUCUGACACUUUCCUGACAGGAGCCCACCUGCCUGUGUCCUUCUUCCAGAUUCGCCUCUGUCUGAGAGCAGCUACAAGGACAGUCUCAUCCGAGUGAAAACCAUUGUCCAUGCCUCCCUGGAGAGCAAGGACCAGGCCUCACUCAGGGUUGUGAGCUCCACAGCAGAGUGCUGUCCAUAGCACAUGUUUAAUCAAUGUUUUGGCCGGGGGGGUGGGGGU